UGUCCAUUACCACUUACUCCAUCUACUCCCACAGUAAGGUAUGGUGUCCAUAAACACUUACUCCAUCUACGCACACAGUAAGGGAUGGUGUCCAUUACCACUUACUCCAUCUACUCCCACAGUAAGGUAUGGUGUCCAUUACCACUUACUCCAUCUACUCCCACAGUAAGGUAUGGUGUCCAUUAACACUUACUCCAUCUACUCCCACAGUAAGGUAUGGUGUCCAUAAAGACUUACUCCAUCUACUCCCACAGUAAGGUAUGGUGUCCAUAAACUCUUACUCCAUUACUCACACAGUAAAGUAUGGUGUCCAUUACCACUUACUCCAUCUACUCUCACAGUAAGGUAUGGUGUCCAUUAACACUUACUCCAUCUACUCUCACAGUAAGGUAUGGUGUCCAUUAACACUUACUCCAUCUACUCCCACAGUAAGGUAUGGUGUCCAUAAAGACUUACUCCAUCUACUCCCACAGUCAGGGAUGGUGUCCAUUACCACUUACUCCAUCUACUCCCACAGUAAGGUAUGGUGUCCAUUAACACUUACUCCAUCUACUCCCACAGUAAGGUAUGGUGUCCAUAAAGACUU